GGGCAGCAAUGCCCCUGAAGGUCCCUGGUAGACUACCAGGUCGAUAGGCUGGAGGUGUAAGCGCAGUAAUGCGUUCAGCCGGCCAGUACUAAUAGACCGUGUGGCUUGACCCA
rnacentral:rRNA from 1 species